rnacentral:rRNA from 1 species
AUGGCGAGCCUUGGGCUACACCUUUUGGGUCAUCACACUGUCCUUUGGUUGCCACCACAUGUGGUGAACCCGAUUCAACCCCUUGAGCCCAGCUGUCCUCACGGUCAUCUCAAACCAGUAGAUUGCUCGGCGCAUGGAAGCAGGGCAGUCGGCCAGCACGACUCUGUCAUUAUGGCCGUGGUUGUUGACGCCAAGCACAAAACACGGUACAAGCCGCCGAGCGAGUUCAUCAUCUUCAUGCUCUUCCUCAAGUUGAACUUAUUUCUGGUGUUUUCCCGCUUGUGCUAUAAGUAUUCAUCUAGGAAGCCCGGGCUAUUCCCCAACUCCAGCCCGUGCAUUCUCCAAAUCCCAGAGCUCCUAAAUCCAGAUCGCCAGCAGAGUACAGAGAUACAGCGGUUUACCAGUGACCGAGGUGAUGUGCGCGCGGAAAAGAAGGUGAUGCUUGAUGGAGGCGAUGCGGAAAAGCAGGGCGCUGUUGAACGGAGGCGAGUCGUCGGAGUCGAUAUCUUCAUCGCCGUCACGCCAGGUCUUGGCAGCCGUCGCCGUACUCCCACCACCGCGUCCUGGUCGCGGUCGCUGUGCCGUGCAUCAGCUACCAUGCAUGCGCCGCGUCGAGGUCGCUGCUGCUCGGCCACCAAGUCUGGGCCGCAGCUGCAUAUCCACUGGCUGGCAUAUGAGAUGCAGAUCCACCGCUCCAAUCUAGGACGUGCGAUAGCGAGGGGUCUGGUGCAAGGGGGUGGGUGGGAGUUGGGACGUGCGUACGUGUGGGUUUUUUUUUUCUAUCGUGCGCGGAGGGGUUGCGAGGAGGUCCGAUUUUUCCUUCACGGGCAGAAGUUACGUACGAGGCUGGAGAGGUCGAACCACGAGGGGAGUAAGAGAGAGGUGCACGCGGAGCUCCUGCGUCGGGUGAGCGUUCGCCCGCGGCGCCGCCAGAUCCGCUCCAGCCGUCCUCCCCCAGCGGCCGCCGAGGCCAGAUCCGGUGCCCCUGCUCUGCUGCAUGCCUCAUGUGAGGAGAUGGGCGUCUCCCGUUCGCGCUCGCGGGUGGGCGCGCGGCGCCACCGCCCGCUUCUUCCUCGGCAGUCCUCCGGUGCUGCGGCCUCAUCCGGCUCCGACGCCUCCUCCCGCGCGUGUCUCCUCUCCCGCGGCCGAUUCGCGGCGAACUUCGGCCGGGCCUCGCUCUCCUGCUGCUCCGACGAUGGGAGCCGUCCCGGCCUCUCUUGCUGCCGGCGUCGCCCCGGCCCGUCUGCCGCCGCCAUCUGCCCGGCAAGCUCCAAGCUGGUCCUCGCGACGCCAACACCUACCGCAUCGCCCGUCGUUGCUGCUGGAGACGGCGGUCAUGUCACUGGGCCCUCUUCCGACCUGAGGGCUGGAAAGCUACUGGCUGCCUCGGGUGCUUCUGAUGCUUUGGCUGUGGGUAUGGUGCAGUCUUUGUGGAGCUCCCUCGACGACGACGACGAUGACGAAGAUGAUAAGGAUGGUGUUGACCUGGCCCCGCAAUCGCCGCUGGCUACCAAGUGCUCCAGCGGGGUGAGCGCUGAGCAUGAGGCAGCUACCUGCGUGGGUUGGCAGGAGGUGCGGCCGCGGCAUGGUUCGCAUCGUCUGGCGUCUCGAGCUCCGGCUUCGUCCCCUCGGCCCAUCCCUGCGUGGCUCCAUGGUCGAUGCUGCAGGUGCCUUGUUACUGGACACCAUGCAGCGAAGUGCAGGGAUCCCUUUCGGUGCUCUCACUGCCUGGGGAACGGCCAUCGGGCUCGUGAGUGUCGGAACGCUUGGCGUCCCCUCAGCUUGCUCGAUAACCCAACUGCUUCGUCAUUGUCCCGCCUCGACACCAUUCAUCCAUCUUCAUGUCAAGCCCACUCUAAUGCCACGCUUCCCUCCAAGGCGAUCCAACGUGACUCCUGGGCGUCGGUUGUUUCUUCCUCUGCUGGUUCUGCAGCCUCAGCUGAGAUGGUGAAGGCGAUUCAGCCUCUGAGUGAUGUGGUUGAUUCAAUGCAUGGAUGGCUGCUGCGGGCUGGGAGCCUUCUGGAGCGUGCAGAGGUUGCUCUGGGCAGGCUAUCUCCUGCAACGGCCGAGGCGCCACUCCCUCCUAUGUCGCCUCCUCUGCCAAAGCUUGUCGUUGACUUCGAGGGCGGCAAUGAUGUGGAUCUCUAUGGCUGCUUCUCCCCUCGUGCUUCGGGCUUCUCGCCCCGUGUUGGGUCCAGUUCGACGCCCCAAGUGUUGCCGGACUUCGAGGGUGUGGCCUCCGUCGAGGUAGUGUCUCCGGUGUUGCAGAUCAUGCCCGAGCUGCAGAUGUUGAGUGGGGAACUUGUUUCACCUUUGUCGAUGGAGCAACUCAAGUUGGACUCUCCCCAGGCUUCGGAGGUGGACUUGGUGUCCUCACCACCCCCCAUGGAGCCUUGUCAGGCGUCAAACAGCCUACCUCUCGACGUCAUGGAGAGCGGAGUUUUAGAUGCUGCCGUCGUUCCCUCGUCUGUGACCAUCGGGCAGGUGAUGCCUGUGAGUGGCAUGACCACGGAGCCACUUGUGUUGGCACCUACCCCAAAUUCAAAUGCUCUCUUCGCGAAGGAACUUUAUGACUUGCUAGCCAGUGUUGAAGUUGCUAGACCUGGUUUAGGUAGGUCGAUUGCUUGCCUCCUAACAGGGACACCAAUAAGGGACAAACAAAAGAAGGUGGGCAAUCGCAAGAGUGGCGCCAAAGGCAAGACGUCUUUGACUGCUUGA